rnacentral:rRNA from 1 species
AGCCCCCAUAAUUGGGGGUAAUUUCUGCUAAUUGCUUUGUAAAAAGCCGCUAUGCGCUAAGGUAGCGUAAUCAAAAGUUUGUUAAUUGCAAACCAGUAUGAAAGAAAGAUUAUAAGAAUACUAUCCUAUUUAAAAUUAAAAAUUAACAGAUAUAAAAAGAAAAUCUGGAUAUGUAAGACGAGAAGACCCUAUAAGCUAACCUAUAAAAAGGUUUUUUGGGGCAAAUGAUUAAUAAAUAAUUUAAUAAAAAAUAUAAAAAUAACUUAAAAAUAAGCUACUUUAGGGAUAACAGAGCAAUGAGGGAGUAAAGACCUUAUAAACCCCCUAGAUUGUGACCUCGAUGUUGGAUUCUUCUCACUAAAACCCGCAACCGGGUUUAAAGUUAAACUGUUCGUUUAAUAAAAGAAG